GGCUGGUCUGAGUGCAGCGGUGUUUACAACAAAUUGAUCACAACCAGUUAUAGAUUUCUUUGUUCCUUCUCUGCUCCCACUGUUUCCCUUCACCAGGCUUAC
ensembl:Y_RNA Y_RNA Y RNA